GCACUAGAUCAUCCCCGGUGGACGACCGGUGGCAUUCCUACUUCGUCGCACUUUCUGCAGCGGUGAGCUCAGAAAGCUUCCCGCAUCAUAAGCGUCCGUAGCGUCAGAAGCAAUUCAACGAAUUCAAAAUCGCUUUCUGGUGGCUGGGAUGGCAUCGCUUCCAACACUCCUCAACAACAUGAAACUCAUUUAUGUCCUCUUCCUGAUUGCGACCGCCAUGGUCAUGGUCCAGGGAGCCUUUUUGGACACCGGAUCCGAAAUCAGCGGUCGUCAGGACCAGGCUCGACCAAAUCGCGGAUACUCAAUACCAGGGGACUUUCAUGGCCCGGGCCUCGUGGACUUCAUCAUGAAUCUUCUGUUAGGACGGGAUCUCGACUACGCGCCGACAGACCCACCAAUAGAGUAUGAAUAGUGAAACUUGGCUAUGUUUCGGGACGCACACCGUUUGCAUCAUAUACCCGAGCGGGGACUUAUUUCGAAGCUUUAAUCAGCACACUAAAAGCUUUUCCUUGAAAUAAAACAUCUCAACAGAA